UGCUGGCGCGUCUGACCCGCCGCCUGUCGCUGCAGGGCGAGCCGGCGCUGAUGGAGGGAAUCUUGCUGGGUGAACCCGUAAGUUGGCCCUCUCCAUCUCUUCCCCUCGCCGUUCCUCUGCCUUCUGCUUUGCCAAGCAGGCCCUAACGCUGCUCUCCCUCCCUGGCAGGGCUCCAAGGGUGACCGGGGCUUGCCUGGCCCCAAGGGAGAGAAGGGGGAGCCUGGAAGAUUUGGGGAGCCUGGAGAUCCCGGGGAAGACGGAGCCAAAGGAUCGUCCGGAGCCAAGGGGGAAAAGGGCUCUCCUGGUGUCGGCGUGCGGGGACCUCCAGGACAGGACGGACCUCCUGGCUUGAAGGUGAUCUCUGCCGCUGCGUCGCUGCGGCUCUGGCCGUGUCCCCGGACGCCUGGGUUCUGUCCCGCUUGGCUGACCAGGGAGAAACACGCUCCCAGGGUCUCCCUAGCGGCUAUUUCCCUGGGCCCAUCUUUUCCCUCUCUGCUCCAGGGUGACACUGGCUUGCCAGGCCCACCAGGACCCCCGGGCUUGGCAGGUGUCGCAGGGACCCCG
rnacentral:lncRNA from 1 species